rnacentral:rRNA from 1 species
CGUCUCUUGCUAAACUCUAUAUAAGAGAUAAUGCCUGCCCAGUGACAAUUUAAACGGCCGCGUUAGCGUGAGCGUGCUAAGGUAGCGUAAUAAACAGCCUUCUAAUUAAAGGCCAGUGAAAGGCAACACGGAAAACUGCUAUAUCUUAUAUGACCAAAAAAUUUUACCUUUAAGUGAAAAGGCUUAAAUAAUAAAAAAAGACGAAAAGACCCCGCGGAGCUUUACUUUAAAACCUAAACAAUAAAAAAUCACCGUUCAAAAAGUUUGGUUGGGGCAACCCUGGAACAACAAAAUCUUCCAGUUUUUGUAACAACUUAUACAAAAUUCGCUACAGACCAAAAAGAAGCUACCCCGGGGAUAACAGCGUAAUCCAACUUGAAAGUACACAUCGAAAGUUGGGUUUGCGACCUCGAUGUUGGCUUAGGGUAAUCCAUAGGGCGCAGCCGCUCUAACAGGACAGUCUGUUCGACUAUUACAACCCU